rnacentral:sRNA from 1 species
GCUGGGUGCGUGGAGCACACCUGUCAUCCCAGCUGCUUGGGAGGCUGAGGCAGGAGGAUCGCAAGUUCAAAGCCAGCCUUAGCAACUUAGCAAGGCCCUAAGCAACUCAGCGAGACCCUGUCUCAA